rnacentral:rRNA from 1 species
AUUGAACGCUGGCGGCAGGCCUAACACAUGCAAGUCGAGCGGAUGAAGGGAGCUUGCUCCUGGAUUCAGCGGCGGACGGGUGAGUAAUGCCUAGGAAUCUGCCUGGUAGUGGGGGAUAACGUCCGGAAACGGGCGCUAAUACCGCAUACGUCCUGAGGGAGAAAGUGGGGGAUCUUCGGACCUCACGCUAUCAGAUGAGCCUAGGUCGGAUUAGCUAGUUGGUGGGGUAAAGGCCUACCAAGGCGACGAUCCGUAACUGGUCUGAGAGGAUGAUCAGUCACACUGGAACUGAGACACGGUCCAGACUCCUACGGGAGGCAGCAGUGGGGAAUAUUGGACAAUGGGCGAAAGCCUGAUCCAGCCAUGCCGCGUGUGUGAAGAAGGUCUUCGGAUUGUAAAGCACUUUAAGUUGGGAGGAAGGGCAGUAAGUUAAUACCCUGCCGUUUUGACGUUACCAACAGAAUAAGCACCGGCUAACUUCGUG